rnacentral:rRNA from 1 species
AGAGCGAACGCUGGCGGCAGGCUUAACACAUGCAAGUCGAGCGGGCGUAGCAAUACGUCAGCGGCAGACGGGUGAGUAACGCGUGGGAACGUACCUUUUGGUUCGGAACAACCCAGGGAAACUUGGGCUAAUACCGGAUAAGCCCUUACGGGGAAAGAUUUAUCGCCGAAAGAUCGGCCCGCGUCUGAUUAGCUAGUUGGUGAGGUAAUGGCUCACCAAGGCAACGAUCAGUAGCUGGUCUGAGAGGAUGAUCAGCCACAUUGGGACUGAGACACGGCCCAAACUCCUACGGGAGGCAGCAGUGGGGAAUAUUGGACAAUGGGCGCAAGCCUGAUCCAGCCAUGCCGCGUGAGUGAUGAAGGCCCUAGGGUUGUAAAGCUCUUUUGUGCGGGAAGAUAAUGACGGUACCGCAAGAAUAAGCCCCGGCUAACUUCGCGCCAGCAGCCGC